GCGCGACUAGCUCAGCUGGCAGAGCACCUGACUCUUAAUCAGGGUGUCCAGGGUUCGAACCCCUGGUCGCGCACGA
rnacentral:tRNA from 3 species